rnacentral:pre_miRNA from 12 species
GCUGGCCCUAGCCCACUUCCUGUGACAGGCAAGCUUUUGGCUCGGGUUAUACCUGAUGCACGCGUAUAAGACGAGCAAAAAGCUUGUUGGUCGGAGGACCCAUCAUCAGCCUAGGUG